rnacentral:rRNA from 1 species
UACGGAGGGAGCUAGCGUUGUUCGGAAUUACUGGGCGUAAAGCGCACGUAGGCGGCUUUGUAAGUUAGAGGUGAAAGCCUGGGGCUCAACCCCAGAAUUGCCUUUAAGACUGCAUCGCUUGAAUCCGGGAGAGGUGAGUGGAAUUCCGAGUGUAGAGGUGAAAUUCGUAGAUAUUCGGAAGAACACCAGUGGCGAAGGCGGCUCACUGGACCGGUAU